rnacentral:piRNA from 2 species
UGCAAGACUUGGAUUAAGUAUCAGCUAU